rnacentral:rRNA from 1 species
ACUCCUACGGGAGGCAGCAGUGGGGAAUCUUGCACAAUGGGCGAAAGCCUGAUGCAGCGACGCCGCGUGCGGGAUGAAGGCCCUAUGGGUUGUAAACCGCUUUCAGCAGGGAAGAGGCCGCAAGGUGACGGUACCUGCAGAAGAAGCCCCGGCUAACUACGUGCCAGCAGCCACGGUAAUACGUAGGGGGCAAGCGUUAUCCGGAUUCAUUGGGCGUAAAGCGCUCGUAGGCGGCUUGUUAGGUCGGGAGUCAAAUCCCGGGGCUCAACCCCGGCACGCUUCCGAUGCCGGCAGGCUUGAGUUUGGUAGGGGAAAGUGGAAUUCCAAGUGUAGCGGUGGAAUGCGCAGAUAUUUGGAAGAACACCAGUGGCGAAGGCGGCUUUCUGGGCCAUAACUGACGCUGAGGAGCGAAAGCUAGGGGAGCAAACAGGUUUAGAUACCCUGGUAGUC